rnacentral:rRNA from 1 species
GAUGAACGCUGGCUACAGGCUUAACACAUGCAAGUCGAGGGGAAACGACGGGGAAGCUUGCUUCCUCGGGCGUCGACCGGCGCACGGGUGAGUAACGCGUAUCCAACCUGCCUCUGACUGAGGGAUAACCCGUCGAAAGUCGGCCUAAUACCUCAUGGCAUCGUCUGCGGGCAUCCAACGACGAUUAAAGAUUUCAUCGGUCAGGGAUGGGGAUGCGUCUGAUUAGCUGGUUGGCGGGGUAACGGCCCACCAAGGCGACGAUCAGUAGGGGUUCUGAGAGGAAGGUCCCCCACAUUGGAACUGAGACACGGUCCAAACUCCUACGGGAGGCAGCAGUGAGGAAUAUUGGUCAAUGGGCGAGAGCCUGAACCAGCCAAGUAGCGUGCAGGAUGACGGCCCUAUGGGUUGUAAACUGCUUUUAUGCGGGGAUAAAGUGAGGGACGUGUCCUUCAUUGCAGGUACCGCAUGAAUAAGGACCGGCUAAUUCCGUGCCAGCAGCCGCGGUAAUACGGAAGGUCCGGGCGUUAUCCGGAUUUAUUGGGUUUAAAGGGAGCGUAGGCCGUGGAUUAAGCGUGUUGUGAAAUGCAGGUGCUCAACGUCUGCACUGCAGCGCGAACUGGCCCACUUGAGUGUGCACAACGCAGGCGGAAUUCGUCGUGUAGCGGUGAAAUGCUUAGAUAUGACGAAGAACUCCGAUUGCGAAGGCAGCUUGCGGGAGCACAACUGACGCUGAAGCUCGAAAGUGCGGGUAUCGAACAGG